AGGUCUUGACAUCCUCUGCUACAUCAAGAGAUUGAUGGUUCCCUUCGGGGACAGAGUGACAGGUGGUGCAUGGUUGUCGUCAGCUCGUGUCGUGAGAUGUUGGGUUAAGUCCCGCAACGAGCGCAACCCUUGUAAUUAGUUGCCAGCAUUAAGUUGGGCACUCUAGUUAGACUGCCGGUGACAAACCGGAGGAAGGUGGGGAUGACGUCAAAUCAUCAUGCCCCUUAUGACCUGGGCUACACACGUGCUACAAUGGAUGGUACAACGAGUCGCAAGACCGCGAGGUUAAGCUAAUCUCUUAAAACCAUUCUCAGUUCGGACUGCAGGCUGCAACUCGCCUGCACGAAGUCGGAAUCGCUAGUAAUCGCGAAUCAGCAUGUCGCGGUGAAUACGUUCCCGGGCC
rnacentral:rRNA from 1 species